UUUCCGUAGGUGAACCUGCGGAAGGAUCAUUAUCGUAUAACGGAGGCGUGAGGGCUGUCGCUGACCUUUGAAGGUCGUGCACGCCCUUGCGCUCUCUCACACAUCCAUCUCACCCCUUUGUGCAUCACCGCGUGGGUCCCCCUUACAGGAGGGCUCGCGUUUUCACAUAAAACUUCAAUACAGUAUAGAAUGUUUUUCUUUUCAUUUGCGGUCACACGCAAUCAAUACAACUUUCAACAACGGAUCUCUUGGCUCUC
rnacentral:misc_RNA from 1 species